CCUACGGGGGGCAGCAGUGGGGAAUAUUGCACAAUGGGGGAAACCCUGAUGCAGCGACGCCGCGUGAGUGAAGAAGUAUUUCGGUACGUAAAGCUCUAUCAGCAGGGAAGAAAAUGACGGUACCUGACUAAGAAGCCCCGGCUAACUACGUGCCAGCAGCCGCGGUAAUACGUAGGGGGCAGGCGUUAUCCGGAUUUACUGGGGGUAAAGGGAGCGUAGACGGCGGCGGAAGGCUGGAGUGAAAUCCCAUGGCUUAACCAUGGAACUGCUUUGGAAACUGUGCAGCUAGAGUGCAGGAGAGGUAAGCGGAAUUCCUGGUGUAGCGGUGAAAUGCGUAGAUAUUAGGAGGAACACCAGUGGCGAAGGCGGCUUACUGGACUGUAACUGACGUUGAGGCUCGAAAGCGUGGGGAGCAAACAGGAUUAGAUACCCUUGUAGUC
rnacentral:rRNA from 1 species